UACGGGGGGGGCAAGCGUUGUUCGGAAUUACUGGGCGUAAAGGGCUCGUAGGCGGCCAACUAAGUCAGACGUGAAAUCCCUCGGCUUAACCGGGGAACUGCAUCUGAUACUGGAUGGCUUGAGUUCGGGAGAGGGAUGCGGAAUUCCGGGUGUAGUGGUGAAAUGCGUAGAGAUCCGGAGGAACACCAGUGGCGAAGGCGGCGACCUGGACAGAUACUGACACUCAACUACGAAAGCGUGGGGAGCAAACAGG
rnacentral:rRNA from 1 species